rnacentral:rRNA from 1 species
UAGAGUUUGAUCUCGGCUACGAGACGACGCUGGCGGCGUGCCUAAUACAUGCAAGUCAACGGAGAUAUUCGCUGAUGAAGUACUUCGGUAAUGAAUCUUGGAUAUCUUAGUGGCGGACGGGUGAGUAACGCGUGAGCAACCUGCCUUUCAGAGGGGGAUAACGUUUGGAAACGAAACGCUAAUACCGCAUGACAUUAUCUUAUCGCAUGGUAGGAUAAUCAAAGGAGCAAUCCGCUGAAAGAUGGGCUCGCGUCCGAUUAGGUAGUUGGUGGGGUAACGGCCCACCAAGCCGACGAUCGGUAGCCGGACUGAGAGGUUGGACGGCCACAUUGGGACUGAGACACGGCCCAGACUCCUACGGGAGGCAGCAGUAAGGGAUAUUGGCCAAUGGGGGAAACCCUGAACCAGCAACGCCGCGUGAGGGAAGACGGUUUUCGGAUUGUAAACCUCUGUCCUCUGUGAAGAUGAUGACGGUAGCAGAGGAGGAAGCUCCGGCUAACUACGUG